AUUGAACGCUGGCGGCAUGCCUUACACAUGCAAGUCGAACGGUAACAGGUUAAGCUGACGAGUGGCGAACGGGUGAGUAAUGUAUCGGAACGUGCCCAGUCGUGGGGGAUAACUGCUCGAAAGAGCAGCUAAUACCGCAUACGACCUGAGGGUGAAAGCGGGGGAUCGCAAGACCUCGCGCGAUUGGAGCGGCCGAUAUCAGAUUAGGUAGUUGGUGAGGUAAAGGCUCACCAAGCCGACGAUCUGUAGCUGGUCUGAGAGGACGACCAGCCACACUGGGACUGAGACACGGCCCAGACUCCUACGGGAGGCAGCAGUGGGGAAUUUUGGACAAUGGGCGCAAGCCUGAUCCAGCCAUGCCGCGUGCGGGAAGAAGGCCUUCGGGUUGUAAACCGCUUUUGUCAGGGAAGAAAAGGUUCUGGCUAAUACCUGGGACUCAUGACGGUACCUGAAGAAUAAGCACCGGCUAACUACAUG
rnacentral:rRNA from 1 species